AGAGUUUGAUCCUGGCUCAGAACGAACGCUGGCGGCGUGCUUAACACAUGCAAGUCAAGGGGAACGCUCCUUCGGGAGUUAUUACACUGGCGCACGGGUGAGUAACGCGUGAGAAACCUGCCCUUAAGUUUGGGAUAACACAUAGAAAUGUGUGCUAAUACCGGAUAAGACCACGAUUCGAUUGUGUUGUGGUAAAAGUCGGAGCAAUCUGACGCUUAUGGAUGGUCUCGCGUCCAAUUAGCUAGAUGGUGAGGUAACGGCUCACCAUGGCGACGAUUGGUAGCCGACCUGAGAGGGUGAUCGGCCACACUGGAACUGAGACACGGUCCAGACUCCUACGGGAGGCAGCAGUGGGGAAUUUUGCGCAAUGGGCGAAAGCCUGACGCAGCGACGCCGCGUGGAUGAAGAAGGCCUUCGGGUCGUAAAGUCCUUUCAGCAGGGAAGAACGUGCAUGGGAGUAACUGCCUAUGUUUUGACGGUACCUGCAGAAGAAGCCCCGGCUAACUCCGUGCCAGCAGCCGCGGUAAUACGGAGGGGGCAAGCGUUGUUCGGAGUCACUGGGCGUAAAGCGCUCGUAGGUGGUAGUGUAAGUCAGGGGUUAAAGGCAUCGGCUCAACCGGUGUACGGCCUUUGAAACUGCACAACUAGAGUAUCAGAGAGGAAUGCGGAAUUUCCGGUGUAGCGGUGAAAUGCGUAGAUAUCGGAAGGAACACC
rnacentral:rRNA from 1 species